rnacentral:lncRNA from 1 species
AUCAAGUCAUCAGACAUGAAUGGCGUGAUCAGCUCGGCAGUAGAAAUCAAAGAGGAGUUUGCUCCGCCAACGAGGAAACGGAGCUCGUCGAUUUCGAAUCGCAACCAACGGAGAGCAACCCCGCCAUCACUGGAUAGUGUUCUGAUGCAAACAGAAGGUCAGUCAUGGAAGAACAAAGAGCAGCCACAAUUCAUAAUGUACCUGUUAAGCUACUGAACGAUGAGCAUUGCGUUGCCGAGACAAACUUUAUUCCGAGUGAUAACGAGUCAACAUCGGCAUAUGGAAGGAUAGAGUUGUUGAUGGCGUUACUCUAGUGGACGUUGACACUGCGUCAACGACAUGUGUUUCAAUCAAAGGUGCACGAGAGGAGGCUGAUGGUGAGGAGAUGAAUUCGUCAUCAAACUGGUUGCGGCUGCACAGCUCGGAGGCGCUCGAGUCAAACAUAACGGUCGUGACAACGACUCACCCACCUGCCAUCCUGACGCAUCCAGCAACCAGCACACCCUCUAGACAACAGCCAAACAGAGCCGCAACUCCCAAUAGUCAAGUUAUAAUUGUAUCAAACGAACUCAACAAAACACAGGUGGAUGAUGCUGCAACAGACGAUGACAUCACUGUUGUGAGCCGCUUACAAGCUGGCGAAUCGCCAGCUGAAAUGAGUCAUGUUUCUGUCAUUACAGUGGGUGAAAACACUACUCCUCAAAGAAGGAUACAGGACAACUCGUUUUGGACUUCUGGUAAGCUUUCACAGUAUGUUUCUAGACUGCGAUAUAGUCAAGAGUCGGAUAAUUAGUAGGCAGAUGAACAUCAGCACGCAAAUGAAUC